rnacentral:rRNA from 1 species
GAUGAACGCUAGCGACAGGCUUAACACAUGCAAGUCGAGGGGCAGCGAGAGGGUAGCAAUACCUUUGUCGGCGACCGGCGCACGGGUGCGUAACACGUAUGCAACCUACCUCAGACAGGGGGAUAAUCCGUUGAAAGGCGGUCUAAUACCUCAUAAUACAGUGGUUCUGCAUGGGACUAUUUGUUAAAGAUUUCGAUUGGUUUGAGAUGGGCAUGCGGAUGAUUAGCUAGUCGGCGGGGUAACGGCCCACCGAGGCGACGAUCAUUAGGGGUUCUGAGAGGAAGGUCCCCCACAUUGGAACUGAGACACGGUCCAAACUCCUACGGGAGGCAGCAGUGAGGAAUAUUGGUCAAUGGGCGCGAGCCUGAACCAGCCAAGUCGCGUGAAGGAAGAAGGAUCUAUGGUUUGUAAACUUCUUUUGCAGGGGGGUAAAGUGCGGUACGUGUACUGUAUUGUAAGUACCCUGCGAAUAAGCAUCGGCUAACUCCGUG